CCCAGCACUCAGUCAGCUGACCAGGUGAUGUGUCUGGCUCAGUGUUACAGUGCUGGUAGAGGAAGUCUCUGUGCCUGCUUGUAGCUCUGCAGGUUCUGUUUUAGAGUCUGCUGCUUCUGAGUUGUCACAGAGCAUGGCCCAACGAGAGUGGCCUGCCCUGAUCCAACAGCAGGGCAGGCCUAGUGCAGGGCCGCACAUU